rnacentral:tRNA from 1 species
GAAAAAGCUCGCAAGAACUGCUAAUUCAUGCCCCCCGCGUAUAACAGCGCGGCUUUUUCUU